ACAGCUUUUGUAAUGAACACUGAGGAUUCCAAGCUGGGGCAUGACCCUGUGGUGGGGCACACAGGGACAUGAGUCAGGAGCUCUGGGGGAUGUUCCUCAGCCUUCCAAGUGAUUCACUCUGCACAAGAGCCCAGCUUACCUUUGGCUGACUCAGAUGAGCAGCUGCAGUUUCUUUUACUUGCUUUGAAAUUAUUGCAUCCCAGUUGGGCAAGAUGUUUCUGCUACUGAGAAACAAGUGGGUUUGGAGAAAAUGCCAGAAGCAACAGAUCAGAUAAAGCCUCUUUACCUUGCUCUAGCUGGAUUAAAAAGCUGAUAAUUUUGGCUGCAGCUUUUUCAAGUGAUCCCCCAAAUGUUUCACUUUUACAGUCAGGAAAAAAGAGCUCCUGACUGUACCUAAUUGAAUAGCUUUUAAGACUACUGGUUAAACUCUAAGACUGUAUCUCAAUAAGGCAUUCAAACAAGGAUGUGAUGGCUUCCAAAACA